rnacentral:rRNA from 1 species
UAGGGAAUCUUCCACAAUGGGCGCAAGCCUGAUGGAGCAACGCCGCGUGAGUGAUGAAGGCCUUCGGGUUGUAAAACUCUGUCUUCUGUGACGAACAAGUGCGUGAGUGGAAAGCUCGCACCCUGACGGUAACAGAGGAGGAAGCCACGGCUAACUACGUGCCAGCAGCCGCGGUAAUACGUAGGUGGCAAGCGUUGUCCGGAAUCACUGGGCGUAAAGCGCGCGCAGGCGGCGAUCUACGUCUGGGGUGAAAGCCCGGAGCUCAACUCCGGGACUGCCUUGGAUACGGGAUCGCUUGAGGAUUGGAGAGGCAAGGGGAAUUCCACGUGUAGCGGUGAAAUGCGUAGAUAUGUGGAGGAACACCUGUGGCGAAGGCGCCUUGCUGGCCAAUUUCUGACGCUGAGGCGCGAAAGCGUGGGGAGCAAACA